GACAGAGGCCCCAAGCGUUAGGCGGAAUCACUGGGCUUAAAGCGUGUGUAGGCGGAUCGUUAAGUGCCUUGUGAAAUCCCACGGCUUAACUGUGGAACGGCUGGGCAUACUGGCGGUCUUGAGCCAUCUAGGGGCGACUGGAACAAACGGUGGAGCGGUGAAAUGCGUAGAUAUCGUUUGGAACGCCAAUGGUGAAAACAGGUCGCUGGGGAUGCGCUGACGCUGAGACACGAAAGCCAGGGGAGCAAACGGG
rnacentral:rRNA from 1 species